rnacentral:rRNA from 1 species
UACGUAGGGUGCGAGCGUUGUCCGGAAUUAUUGGGCGUAAAGAGCUCGUAGGCGGUUUUGUUGCGUCUAUCGUGAAACCUGACGGCUUAACUGUGGGCUUGCGGUGGAUACGGGCAGGACUUGAGUUCGGUAGGGGAGGACUGGAAUUCCUGGUGUAGCGGUGAAAUGCGCAGAUAUCAGGAGGAACACCGGUGGCGAAGGCGGGUCUCUGGGCCGAUACUGACGCUGAGGAGCGAAAGCGUGGGGAGCGAACAGG